GCCCCGCCCCGUUUCCCCGGACUCUGCCCAGUGCUGAACUCGGGGCCGCCGGGUUCCAGAGUCCCUCGGGUCUCAGGUCAUGGCGGUCCCGGGGCCAGCGCCCGGAGCUGGCUCCAGGCCGAGGUUGGAUCUGCAAUUUCUCCAGCGGUUCCUGCAGAUACUGAAGGUUUUGUUUCCUUCUUGGUCAUCACAGAAUGCCUUGAUGUUCCUGACCCUUUUGUGCCUGACCCUACUGGAACAAUUGGUGAUCUACCAAGUUGGCUUGAUCCCCAGUCAGUACUAUGGUGUCCUGGGAAACAAAGACUUGGAAGGGUUUAAGGCUCUGACAUUCCUGGCUGUCAUGCUCAUUGUUCUGAACUCCACGCUGAAGAGCUUUGAUCAGUUCACCUGCAACCUGCUGUAUGUGAGCUGGAGGAAGGACCUCACUGAGCACCUCCACUGCCUCUACUUCCGGGGCCGUGUGUACUACACCCUCAAUGUGCUGCGGGAUGACAUCGAUAACCCGGACCAGCGCAUCAGCCAGGAUGUGGAGCGAUUCUGCCGGCAGCUCAGCAGCAUGGCCAGCAAGCUGAUCGUCUCCCCAUUCAUCCUCGUCUACUAUACUUACCAGUGCUUCCAAAGCACAGGCUGGCUCGGGCCUGUGAGCAUCUUUGGGUAUUUCAUCCUGGGGACCAUGGUGAACAAAACUUUGAUGAGCCCCAUUGUGACGAAGCUGGUGCAUCAGGAGAAGCUGGAGGGAGAUUUUAGGUUCAAGCACAUGCAGAUUCGGGUGAAUGCGGAGCCUGCCGCUUUCUACAGAGCUGGGCAUGUGGAGCACAUGAGGACAGACCGCAGGCUGCAGAUACUCCUUCAGACCCAGAGGGAGCUGAUGUCCAAGGAGCUCUGGCUGUACAUCGGCAUCAACACCUUUGACUAUCUGGGCAGCAUCCUGAGUUACGUUGUCAUCGCAAUCCCCAUUUUCAGCGGGGUCUAUGGAGACCUGAGUCCUGCAGAGCUUAGCACCCUGGUCAGCAAGAAUGCCUUUGUGUGCAUCUACCUCAUCAGCUGCUUCACCCAGCUCAUCGACCUGUCCACGACGCUCUCGGAUGUGGCUGGCUACACGCACAGGAUUGGGCAACUUCGGGAGACGCUGCUGGACAUGUCCCUGAAGUCGCAGGACUGUGAGAUCCUAGGCGAGAGCGAGUGGGGCUUGGACAAAGCCUCAGGGUGGCCAGCGGCAGAGCCAGCAGACACAGCAUUUCUCCUUGAGCGGGUCUCCAUCUCUGCCCCCUCCUCUGACAAACCCCUAAUCAAGGAUCUGAGCCUAAAGAUCUCCGAGGGACAGAGCCUGCUCAUCACAGGCAACACGGGCACUGGCAAGACCUCCUUGCUCCGGGUUCUGGGCGGCCUCUGGACAAGUACACGGGGCUCAGUGCAGAUGCUGACGGACUUUGGGCCCCAUGGGGUGCUAUUCCUGCCACAAAAGCCAUUCUUCACUGACGGGACCCUUCGGGAGCAGGCUGGUGUGGUUUUUUUCUUUUCUCAGGUGAUAUAUCCCCUGAAGGAGGUCUACCCCGACUCAGGUUCUGCUGAUGAUGAGAGGAUCUUGAGGUUCUUGGAAUUGGCAGGCCUGGUAUGAUGUUCUGUCCCCAGGGGAGAUGCAACGGCUCUCCUUUGCCCGACUCUUCUACCUGCAACCGAAGUACGCAGUGCUUGAUGAAGCCACCAGUGCCCUGACAGAGGAGGUGGAGAAUGAGCUCUAUCGCAUCGGCCAGCAGCUGGGGAUGACGUUCAUCAGUGUGGGACAUCGGCAGAGCCUUGAGAAGGUACCUGUGCUCACAAGGAUGGCCUAAGGAGGAGAGAGAACCCAAAGGCUGAGCCUGGCCAGAGCCAGAGGCUCCUCAAAACAGGGAGUAGCAGUAGCAGAGAGAACUGAGUGGCCUCCUGUGCCAGUGGCCAGGGCAACCUGAUCUCCGUGUGGUGGUGGUCUCUUGUAGUUUCAUUCCUUCGUUCUGAAACUCUGUGGAGGAGGAAGAUGGGAGCUGAUGAGAAUCAAAGUGGAAUGAAGCUCCAGCUUUUAGAAGGAGAGCCACACUCUGGAGGGUCGGCAGCCCUCAGGAGUGACCAGGAGGACUGGCGGGGAAGAUCGAGCUCAGGUUCGCCACAUAGGUCCUGUGCAGGAGCCCUGGCGGUGUUGGGCUGAGCCCGGGUCUGGAUUUCUGUGGGGGACACUGAGUCUCCCAGUGUUCAGUCUCCCAGGACUCUGCUGCCUCAGCCAGAGCCUCCAUAUGCUUAAACGGUUGAUUACCUACAAAUGAUUUCAGAUCGUGUUUGCUAAAGAGAAAUCUGGAAGUGUGAGAUCUGUAAGAAAUGAAAGGUCAGGGUGGAAAGAGAUCUCUUGGAGUCAAGAGAUCUGGAAAUCUUUUAAUCAGUUAUAUUGUGCAGCAAUAGAUUUUUAACUUUAACUGACCAUUUAAGUUUUUUUAAUAAGUUUUUUACAAAGAAAAGUUAAACAUUAAAAAGAGUUACAGCUUUCUGUCUUCUCUA